GACGAUCCGAGCGAACGUUGUUCGGAAUCACUGGGCUUAAAGGGCGCGUAGGCGGGCUGCCGCGUCCGGGGUGAAAUCCCACGGCUCAACCGUGGAACGGCCCCGGGUACGGGCGGCCUCGAGGGGGUAGGGGCGUGCGGAACUGUGGGUGGAGCGGUGAAAUGCGUUGAGAUCCACAGGAACUCCGGUGGCGAAGGCGGCACGCUGGACCCCUUCUGACGCUGAGGCGCGAAAGCCAGGGGAGCGAACGGGAGUUAGAAACCCCUG
rnacentral:rRNA from 1 species